GACGAACGCUGGCGGCGUGCUUAACACAUGCAAGUCGAGCGAAGCGGCUCUGCUGGGGGGGUGUGCUAGCGGGGAAAGGGGGAGUGAAACGCGGGAAUAACCCCCCCAUCUCUGGGAGAACUCCGCGAAAAACGGGGGAAAACACGGGAUGGCAUCUCCUGGCGCCUGGGGGGGGGGGGAGAGUUUCGGCGGGUGGGGAUGGACUCGCGGCUUAUCAGCUUGUUGGUGGGGUAGUGGCUUACCAAGGCUUCGGCGGGUAGCCGGCCUGAGAGGGCGACCGGCCACACUGGGACUGAGACACGGCCCAGACUCCUACGGGAGGCAGCAGUGGGGAAUAUUGCGCAAUGGGCGGAAGCCUGACGCAGCAACGCCGCGUGCGGGAUGACGGCCUUCGGGUUGUAAACCUCUUUCGCCUGUGACGAAGCGAGAGUGACGGUACCUGGUGAAGAAGCACCGGCUAACUACGUG
rnacentral:rRNA from 1 species